AUAUUGGUUAUGGACGUGCUGGGGUUGUCGCUGACCUUUGAAAGGGUCGUGCACGCCUCGGUGCUUUCACACAUAAUCCAUCUCACCCCUUUUGUGCAUCACCGCGUGGGGGCCCCUUUUAGCUAGGUCUGAAGGGGGCUUUCACGUUUUUACAAACACACCCUUUUAAUGCAAUAUGUAGAAUGUCUUACUUUUUGCGAUGACACGCAAUCAAUACAACUUUCAACAACGGAUCUCUUGGCUCUCGCAUCGAUGAAGAACGCAGCGAAAUGCGAUACGUAAUGUGAAUUGCAGAAUUCAGUGAAUCAUCGAAUCUUUGAACGCACCUUGCGCCCUUUGGCAUUCCGAAGGGCACACCCGUUUGAGUGUCGUGACAUCCUCAAACCUUCUUGGUUUCUUGACCGAGAAGGCUUUGGACUUUGGAGGCUUUUGCUGGACCUUCCCUUGUUGAAGCCAGCUCCUCUUAAAUGAAUUAGUGGGGUCUGCUUUGCUGAUCCUUGACGUGAUAAGAUGCUUCUACGUCUUGGGUUUUGCACUGUUUGCUCUAGAUCCUGCUUCUAACCGUCUCAUAGAAGACAAAUGGUCGACAUUGACCCACAAACCUUGACCUCAAAUCGGGUGAGACUACCCGCUGAACUUAAGCAUAUCAAUAAGCGGAGGA
rnacentral:rRNA from 1 species